rnacentral:lncRNA from 1 species
GGCGAAAUCAUCAUCCAAGUGAGUUAACCUCUUCAUUGAGUUAGCAAAGCUGGCCUUUCGGACCGUGCAGAAGCGUCUCUAGUGAUGAAGAAAGGUGAAGAAAAAGAAGUUUCAGUCACUAAAGUUGAUCCAUGUGAUUUUCUAGUUUUGGUUGCUAUCUUCGGUUUCAUUUUUAUUUGCAAAUGUGUUUUAUGCAUUCUGGCAACAAAAAAGUGUUGUCAAGCUCCAGGU